rnacentral:miRNA from 1 species
AUUUGAAUUUCAGAUACCCAAGAAGUAAUUUUUCCAGUAUAAGUAUGUCCCAUGCAACAUUUGGGACAUACUUAUGCUAAAAUACUAUUCGUUGCUUACCUGAAAUUCACAUUUAACUGAGCAUCCUGUAUUUU